rnacentral:lncRNA from 1 species
GAAAACUAGAUCAAGGGUUCUGCUCUUAUUCUGAUGAGCUGCAUUGCAUGGAGUGCGUGGCUAAUCCUCCAGGUGAUCAAAAACUCGAUUCAAGGUGGCACAUUUUAUACAAAUACUAGCUUCUUGCCAUAGGCGCUCUUUUUUUUUUAGUUUAGUCUUGACUAUUUUUUGGAUAUUUUCAUUUUAUUUGAAGAAAAACAAAACUUAAUUUAUAGUUUAUAAUUAAAUUUUUUUUUUCAAAAAGGUUAGUAACUUUGUAGGAUUGUAAUUGUAUUCAUUUCAAUUGAUAAUACACGGUAUAAUAUUUUAGUGGAUAUGAUGUUGGGUUCCUACCCAUGCGUCUCGGGUUCAAAACUCCUCCCUCUUCUUAAAUAUCAUAAUAAAUUCUAGUCAAGUAACUUUUUGUACAAGUAGACCUAGGUUCACAUAGAUUUACAUAACCUAGCCCAAUAGAAUUCUAACCAGAGUCUCAUAUACUAACAAACUCCUUCUAUGUAGGGGGUUUUAACUUAAUUUGUCCUUGCUUAAUAAACUGUUUUCUUUAGCUGUAAGAGGUGACGGGUAUUUUUGAUACCACCAAAUCUGACUUCAUUUAUAUAGAGAUAAAUUCGAAAUUGAGUUAUUUGUUCAACUUUGGCAUUUUUUGCUCCACAGGUUGCGGUGUCCAAAGUCUACCCUGCGCCAUUGUCACUAACCAGUGAGCGUUUUCUUCCAUAUAUCAUACUUAUAAGAUAUGUUCAACUACAUAAAUUGUGUAAAAAGAAUGACCAUAUAUUUGCUGUUGUGAGACAUUAUAUUAUUAUAUAUACUAAAACUCAAACUCCCUUGGUAUUGUUCUAGAGCAGUAAAAUGGCGAGAAUGCCCCUAAUUUUUUCCUUCCUCUUCAUUUUAAUGUUGAUUUUGUACAGUGAUUUGACUGUUUUGUCCUUGCCGCAUGCGCAACUCUCAUUCCUCCACCUCUGAUUUUUUUUUUUUGGGUUUUGCUCUACUUUUUCAGUACAUGCUUUCCACGUGUUGAUCAUCGGCAGUGUUUCUGUUGAGAGGAUUUUUCCCUUUUUGUUUCGUUUUCACUCCUCUCUUUGUUCGCUUUUUCCUAUCGUUUUUCUGCUUCUCUCUUUAGCCUCUUUAUGUUUCGUCUUCAGUUUUCUGUCUUUGUCUUCUCAUCCUUGGUCCAACGCUUAGCACACCGCCUUCUUGGCGUUUUAAGUCUUGCUGUUUUCUGGUUAGUUGUGUGUCUUUUUGGUUGCCCUUUUUUUUUGUUAAUUUUGUAUUUAGAGUUAGGUCUUUUGUUUGAAUUUGGGUUCAGUUGAUUUUCAAGGUUUUGAGUUGGUUGCCAUUUUUUGUUUCUAAUUUUUUAUUUAGAGUUAGGUCUUUUGUUUGAAUUUGGGUUUAGGUCUUUUGUUUGAAUUUGGGUUUAGUUGAUUUUCAAGGUUUCGUGUUGGUUGCCAUUUUUUGUUUCUAAUUUUUUAUUUAGAGUUAGGUCUUUUGUUUGAAUUUGGGUUUACCUGAAUUUGAGUUAGGUCUUUUGUUUGAAUGUUGCAAUUUUAGUACUAACUGUUUUUGUUUUUAGGAACGAGUUAAAGUUGCAGAGUGACAAGCGAUUGAACUGUGGUGUAUGGCAAUUGACAAGCGAUUGAACCUUAUGAACAGUGUGCAGCUGAGCAGCAGCCAUUACACAGCAUAUGAUUCGUGAAGAUCAUCGUCAUUGCCUGAUGUAAAAGAGUAGAAUUUUAUAUUGGUAUCUUUCAUCACUCGAUGUGGAACGAACUAAACAAUUAUUAUUGAAAUAUAUGAUUCGGAUUAUGUUACUCAAUAGCAUCUGUUGGGGUUGCAUGUUUGUUGAUUCAUCAUAAUUGUUCAGUACUCCUCCGGCCCUUAAGUCAAUCCUGGUACUAUUCACUUUAGCCUUUAUUUUGUUCUUAUCAUUAAAACUCAAAGUUUUCAA